rnacentral:piRNA from 1 species
UUGGACAGAAAUUAAAUUGCAGGGUUUGC